rnacentral:rRNA from 1 species
GACGAACGCUGGCGGCAUGCUUAACACAUGCAAGUCGAACGGAAACGCCCAGCUUGCUGGAUGCUCGAGUCGCGAACGGGGGAGUAACGCGUGGGUGAUCUGCCUCUCACUUCGAGAUGGCCGUUGGUAACGGGGUCUAAUGAAGGAUAGAACAAUCGUCUCGUGUCGGUGAGCCAGCGUUGUGUCGGGUAGGGAUGGGCCCGCGGCCUGUCAGCUUGUGGGAGGGGUAAUGGCUUACCGAGGCGGGGCAGGGUAGCCGGGCUGGGGGGGUGGCCGGCCACAUUGGGAUUGAGAUACGGCCCAGCCUCGAACGGGAGGGAGAAGAGGGGAAUAGUACACAAGGGGAGCGAGCCUGGUGCAGCGACGCCGUGUGGGGGAAGACGGCCAGCGGGUUGUAAACCUCUUUCGUCUGGGACGGAGCUUUGGUGACUGUACCGGUAGAAGAAGCCCCGGCUAACUACGUG